rnacentral:rRNA from 1 species
GAUGAACGCUGGCGGCGUGCCUAAUACAUGCAAGUCGAGCGAACAGACGAGGAGCUUGCUCCUCUGACGUUAGCGGCGGAAGGGUGAGUAACACGUGGAUAACCUACCUAUAAGACUGGGAUAACUUCGGGAAACCGGAGCUAAUACCGGAUAAUAUAUUUAAUCGCAUGGUUCAAUAGUGAAAGACGGUUUUGCUUUCCCUUAUAGAUGGAUCCGCGCCGCAUUAGCUAGUUGGUAAGGUAACGGCUUACCAAGGCAACGAUGCGUAGCCGACCUGAGAGGGUGAUCGGCCACACUGGAACUGAGACACGGUCCAGACUCCUACGGGAGGCAGCAGUAGGGAAUCUUCCGCAAUGGGCGAAAGCCUGACGGAGCAACGCCGCGUGAGUGAUGAAGGUCUUCGGAUCGUAAAACUCUGUUAUUAGGGAAGAACAAAUGUGUAAGUAACUAUGCACGUCUUGACGGUACCUAAUCAGAAAGCCACGGCUAACUACGUG